rnacentral:rRNA from 1 species
GAUCCUGGCUCAGGAUGAACGCUAGCGACAGGCUUAACACAUGCAAGUCGGAGGGGGCAGCACAGGGUAGCAAUACUUGGGUGGCGACCGGCGCACGGGUGAGUAACGCGUAUGCAACUUACCUAUCAGAGGGGGAUAGCCCGGCGAAAGUCGGAUUAAUACCCCAUGAAACAGGGGUCCCGCAUGGGAAUAUUUGUUAAAGAUUCAUCGCUGAUAGAUAGGCAUGCGUUCCAUUAGGCUAGG